ensembl:lncRNA
AUGGAAUACCAGGAAAUCAAUGAAAGGAUGUAUCCAUGGAUCGGAACUGUUGGACUAAGUUUGAACUCCCUUUCAGUUCUAGACACUGACUCAUUUAUCAGACUCUUCCAUCGCAGAGGUGGCCUAUUGAGAUUGUCACUCUUUGGUUUUACCGUUACAUGUGGUUCCUUGGCUGGUAGUCAGAAUUGUAACAAGCCAAUGACACGGACCAGGAACACCAUAUGGGGCUCCAGUGAACAGCCCAAAUGCACUUGCUCCGGCUUCAUCAACACCCACUACUGAACACGUAGCAAGUGGCGCGUGAUUUUCAUCCAUGUCUCAUCUCUCUAUUCACUAUUCUGUGUAGAUCCAUGUUUCGGUAAGUGUGCCAUUAUGUGCAUCAGUGAUCACCUCUGUGUGGCCUUUUUGCUGGUGAAUUAGAAUAAGCAAAAGGUCACAACGGGUUUCCCUCCCAAUAUUGCUCGCUCCAAAUGAAGUGCUCGAUGAGAGCAAUUAUGGAUAUUUUCAAUCGGCUCUCACUUUUGAGUCUGUGAAUACAGUAAAAAAUAAGAAUCAACAGGGCUUGUGCAUGGCUUUACUGUGGGCAAUACAUAUUCAUUAAAAAAAUGACAUACCUAAUGUAAUGUGGUAUUCUAAAAGGAAUAGUAUUGUCGCUUCAGUUUCUUUCUUUCUUUCUUUCUUUCUUUCUUUCUUUCUUUCUUUCUUUCUUUCUUUCUUUCUUUCUUUCUUUCUUUCUUUUUCUGAUUUCUUUUUAUUUCUGUAUUUCUAAGAUAUUUUAAAAAAUAUCAGUUUGUUUGUCCAUACAAUGAAAGUCAAAAAGUUCCAAUGUUGUUUUGGACCCCAGUGACUUUAUUGUGCAACUGAAACAUUGUGAAAUAUUAUUACAAUUUAAAAUAAUAGUUUUCUAUUUUAAUAUAGUUAAAAAAAUCCUACCUAGGUACUAAAAAUCCUUCAGAAAUCAUUGGAA